rnacentral:rRNA from 1 species
AACAAACGCUGGCGGCGUGCCUAAUACAUGCAAGUCGAACGGGGAAAGCUUUCGGGUGAGUACUAGUGGCGCACGGGUGAGUAACGCGUGGAUAAUCUGCCUUGAAGAGGGGGAUAACCAGUCGAAAGAUUGGCUAAUACCGCAUAAGACCACAGGAACUGAGGUUCUAGAGGUCAAAGGUUUUUCGCUUCAAGAUGAGUCCGCGUAAGAUUAGCUAGUUGGUGAGGUAACGGCUCACCAAGGCGACGAUCUUUAACUGGUCUGAGAGGAUGAUCAGUCACACUGGAACUGAGACACGGUCCAGACUCCUACGGGAGGCAGCAGUAGGGAAUAUUGCACAAUGGAGGAAACUCUGAUGCAGCGACGCCGCGUGAGUGAUGAAGGCCUUCGGGUCGUAAAGCUCUGUCGCAGGGGAAUAACACAAUGAAGGUACCCUGUAAGAAAGGAUCGGCUAACUUCGUGCCAGCCGCCGCCGUAACAC